GAGAUCAAGAACGCCUGAGGAAAGAGAACUUACAAAUGACCAAAUGACUGUUCUGUGGAGGCUCAGGGUCGCCGCAGUUUUCCUGAGCUAACCUCCCUACAAGAUGACUGCCAUGCUGUAUCUGCUGGAGGUAGUCUGAUCAAAAACACCAUAAUUGUGGAGAUGAUUCUUCUUUUUAUCUCAUGUAAUACCUAUACCUUUCCUCUACCCAAAUAUUAAAGGGAGCACUUGCCUACAAAUGUACAUGUUAUAUGCAGGUCCAAAUGGUAAAGAGUAUGAAGAUAAGUUAGAGGCAGGAUUUAAUGCACAGGAAGAGAGGUUCUUGGUGUCCUGAGGGGCAAUUCCCUCCUCCUUGUCUACUCGUCUGGGCUACACAUCUUCAGCCCCCCAAAAUGAGACCCAUGUGGAGAAGGAUGACAUCGAGCAAAGAGCAUAGGUGCAAAUUCCUUCUCCCUCCAACACAUCUUCAGCCACUCUCAGCUCGGAGGGUUAAACAGAGCCAGAAGACUUGCUUCGGUUGGCUGACACCACUGUCACCAUGCCCAUGUCAGUUCCUAGGAGGGGUGUAUAGGAAGGAGAAAAGAAGGUGGCUCUCAUCGCAAAACAGAUAA
rnacentral:lncRNA from 1 species